GUCCACGCCCUAAACUAUGAUCACUCGAUGUUGGCGAUACACAGUCAGCGUCUAAGGGAAACCAUUAAGUGAUCCACCUGGGAAGUACGACCGCAAGGUUGAAACUCAAAGGAAUUGACGGGGCCCGCACAAGCGGAGGAGCAUGUGGUUUAAUUCGAUGAUACGCGAGGAACCUUACCUGGGCUUGAAAGUUAGUGACCGCUCCUGAAAGGGAGCCUUCCGCAAGGACACGAAACUAGGUGCUGCAUGGCUGUCGU
rnacentral:rRNA from 1 species